rnacentral:rRNA from 1 species
UGAUCCUGGCUCAGAUUGAACGCUGGCGGUAUGCUUAACACAUGCAAGUCGAACGGAAACGAUACUAGCUUGCUAGUAGGCGUCGAGUGGCGGACGGGUGAGUAACGCGUAGGAAUCUGCCUGAUAGUGGGGGAUAGCCCGAAGAAAUUCGGAUUAAUACCGCAUAAUCUAUUCGUAGUAAAGUGGGGGACUUUCGAGCCUCACGCUAUCAGAUGAGCCUGCGUAAGAUUAGCUUGUUGGUAGGGUAAAAGCCUACCAAGGCGACGAUCUUUAGCUGGUCUGAGAGGAUGAUCAGCCACAUUGGGACUGAGACACGGCCCAAACUCCUACGGGAGGCAGCAGUGGGGAAUCUUGCACAAUGGAGGAAACUCUGAUGCAGCGAUGCCGCGUGAGUGAAGAAGGCCCUUGGGUUGUAAAGCUCUUUCGUCGGGGAAGAAAAUGACUGUACCCGAAUAAGAAGGUCCGGCUAACUUCGUGCCAGCAGCCGCGGUAAUACGAAGGGACCUAGCGUAGUUCGGAAUUACUGGGCUUAAAGAGUUCGUAGGUGGUUGAAAAAGUUAGUGGUGAAAUCCCAGAGCUUAACUCUGGAACUGCCAUUAAAACUUUUCAGCUAGAGUAUGAUAGAGGAAAGCAGAAUUUCUAGUGUAGAGGUGAAAUUCGUAGAUAUUAGAAAGAAUACCAAUUGCGAAGGCAGCUUUCUGGAUCAUUACUGACACUGAGGAACGAAAGCAUGGGUAGCGAAGAGGAUUAGAUACCCUCGUAGUCCAUGCCGUAAACGAUGUGUGUUAGACGUUGGAAAUUUAUUUUCAGUGUCGCAGGGAAACCGAUAAACACACCGCCUGGGGAGUACGACCGCAAGGUUAAAACUCAAAGAAAUUGACGGGGGCCCGCACAAGCGGUGGAGCAUGUGGUUUAAUUCGAAGCAACGCGCAGAACCUUACCUACCCUUGACAUACCGAUCGCGGUUUCCAGAGAUGGAUUCCUUCAGUUAGGCUGGAUCGGAUACAGGUGCUGCAUGGCUGUCGUCAGCUCGUGUCGUGAGAUGUUGGGUUAAGUCCCGCAACGAGCGCAACCCUCAUCCUUAGUUGCCAUCACGUUUGGGUGGGCACUCUAAGGAAACUGCCGGUGGUAAGCCGGAGGAAGGUGGGGAUGACGUCAAGUCCUCAUGGCCCUUACGGGUAGGGCUACACACGUGCUACAAUGGCAGUGACAAUGGGUUAAUCCCCAAAAAUUGUCUCAGUUCGGAUUGUCGUCUGCAACUCGACGGCAUGAAGGUGGAAUCGCUAGUAAUCGUGGAUCAGCAUGCCACGGUGAAUACGUUCCCGGGCCUUGUACACACCGCCCGUCACAUCAUGGGAAUUGGUUCUACCCGAAGACGCUGUGCUAACUUCGGAGGCAGGCGGCCACGGUAGGAUCAGUGACUGGGAUGAAGUCGUAACAAGGUAACC